rnacentral:rRNA from 1 species
UACGAGAGGCCCAAACGUUAUUCGGAAUUACUGGGCGUAAAGCGUGCGCAGGCGGUUUUGUAAGCCAGAUGUGAAAGCCCCGGGCUCAACCUGGGAAUGGCAUUUGGGACUGCAAGGCUUGAGUGCGGCAGAGGAGACUAGAAUUCCUGGUGUAGCAGUGAAAUGCGUAGAUAUCAGGAGGAAUACCGAUGGCGAAGGCAGGUCUCUGGGCUGACACUGACGCUCAUGCACGAAAGCGUGGGGAGCAAACAGG